GACAGAACAUAUUGGCAAAAGGUUUAUAUUCUUCUCUUUUCUCUUCUUCCAGUGUAUACAUAUAACAACAGAAUAGACAAAAGCGGCUGAAGGGUUUUAAAAAAUCCCCGGGUUUAUUGUGCUUUUUUUGGCAUUUGAAAUAAGAGCGGGAAAAUGAACGGAAGUGAAAUGAAAAGAGCGGGAAUAGGAGACUUAACUAUAAUUUGAAUUUGUUUGAUUUUUCUCAUUGAUGCAAAAAGCUAUAAAGAUUUCAAACUGGCCCCGAGGGUCUGAGCUGCUGGAAAAAAAGUUGCUGUUGCUGCGCUAUGUAUUUUAUGGCCCACUGCUGAUUUAGGAAGUUUAUUUCUCGCUGGAUUUUCGUUAUUUGUUUAAAUAGUUUAGCUGAGAAAACCGCCUACUCUCCCGCGCGCCCAGUCACAACAUGCAGCACCAAAAACU